rnacentral:rRNA from 1 species
GACGAACGCUGGCGGCGUGCUUAACACAUGCAAGUCGAACGGAAAGGCCUCUUUCGGUGGGUACUCGAGUGGCGAACGGGUGAGUAACACGUGAGUAACCUGCCCUUUACUUUUGGAUAACUUCAGGAAACUGGGGCCAAUACCGGAUAGGAGCUCCUACUUCAUGGUGGGGGUUGGAAAUUUUCGGCGGUUGGGGAUGGACUCGCGGCUUAACAGCUUGUUGGUGGGGUAGUGGCUUACCACGGCUUUGACGGGUAGCCGGACUGAGAGGGUGACCGGCCACAUUGGGACUGAGAUAAGGCCCAGACGCCUACGAGAGGCAGAAGUGGGGAAGACUGAACCAUGGGUGGAAGCCGGAUGCAGCAACGCCGUGUGCGGGAUGACGGCUUUCUGGUUGUAAAACGCUUUCGCUCAAGACGCCGCUUUGUGUGACGGUAGUGAGUAAAGAAGCACCGGCUAACUACGUG